rnacentral:rRNA from 1 species
AUGCACGCUGGCGGCGUGCCUAAUACAUGCAAGUCGAGCGAACAGACGAGGAGCUUGCUCCUCUGACGUUAGCGGCGGACGGGUGAGUAACACGUGGAUAACCUACCUAUAAGACUGGGAUAACUUCGGGAAACCGGAGCUAAUACCGGAUAAUAUAUUGAACCGCAUGGUUCAAUAGUGAAAGACGGUUUUGCUGUCACUUAUAGAUGGAUCCGCGCCGCAUUAGCUAGUUGGUAAGGUAACGGCUUACCAAGGCAACGAUGCGUAGCCGACCUGAGAGGGUGAUCGGCCACACUGGAACUGAGACACGGUCCAGACUCCUACGGGAGGCAGCAGUAGGGAAUCUUCCGCAAUGGGCGAAAGCUUGACGGAGCAACGCCGCGUGAGUGAUGAAGGUCUUCGGAUCGUAAAACUCUGUUAUUAGGGAAGAACAAAUGUGUAAGUAACUAUGCACGUCUGGACGGUACCUAAUCAGAAAGCCACGGCUAACUACGU